AUGCACGCUGGCGGCGUGCCUCAUCCAUGCCAGUCGAGCGAACGGACGAGAAGCUUGCUUCUCUGAUGUUAGCGGCGGACGGGUGAGUAACACGUGGAUAACCUACCUAUAAGACUGGGAUAACUUCGGGAAACCGGAGCUAAUACCGGAUAAUAUUUUGAACCGCAUGGUUCAAAAGUGUAAGACGGUCUUGCUGUCACUUAUAGAUGGAUCCGCGCUGCAUUAGCUAGUUGGUAAGGUAACGGCUUACCAAGGCAACGAUGCAUAGCCGACCUGAGAGGGUGAUCGGCCACACUGGAACUGAGACACGGUCCAGACUCCUACGGGAGGCAGCAGUAGGGAAUCUUCCGCAAUGGGCGAAAGCCUGACGGAGCAACGCCGCGUGAGUGAUGAAGGUCUUCGGAUCGUAAAACUCUGUUAUUAGGGAAGAACAUAUGUGUAAGUAACUGUGCACAUCUUGACGGUACCUAAUCAGAAAGCCACGGCUAACUACGUG
rnacentral:rRNA from 1 species